UCGCCUGUUUUACAAAAACAUGUCCUUUUGGUAUUUAUUUAAGGUCUAACCUGCCCAAUGAUUUUUUAAUGGCCGCGGUAAUUUGACCGUGCAAAGGUAGCAUAAUCACUUGUCUCUUAAUUGGAGGCUAGAAUGAAUGGUUGGACGAGAUAUAUACUUUCUUUUUUAUAUUUUAUUGAAUUUAAUUUUUGAGUUAGAAAGCUUAAAUUUUUUUAUAGGACGAGAAGACCCUGUAGAAUUUUAUACUAAUAUAGUUUUAGUUCUUUUUGUACAUAUUAUUGGUUCUUUUAUUAUCUUAGUAUUUUGUUGGGGCGACAGGAAGAUUUUUUUAACUCUUUUUUCUUUACUCAUUGAUUUAUGUUUUGUUUUUGAUCCUUUAUUAAAGAUUAUAAGAUUAAAUUACCUCAGGGAUAACAGCGUAAUCCUUUUGGAGAGCUCUUAUCGAUAAAAGGGUUUGCGACCUCGAUGUGGAUUAAAA
rnacentral:rRNA from 1 species